GUGGGGAAUCUUGCGCAAUGGGCGAAAGCCUGACGCAGCCAUGCCGCGUGAAUGAUGAAGGUCUUAGGAUUGUAAAAUUCUUUCACCGGGGACGAUAAUGACGGUACCCGGAGAAGAAGCUCCGGCUAACUUCGUGCCAGCAGCCGCGGUAAUACGAAGGGGGCUAGCGUUGCUCGGAAUUACUGGGCGUAAAGGGCGCGUAGGCGGACAGCUUAGUCAGAGGUGAAAGCCCAGGGCUCAACCUUGGAAUUGCCUUUGAUACUGGCUGUCUUGAGUUUGGGAGAGGUGAGUGGAACUCCGAGUGUAGAGGUGAAAUUCGUAGAUAUAGGAAGGAACACCAGUGGCGAAGGCGACUACCUGGACUGAUACUGACACUGAGGUGCGAAAGCGUGGGGAGCAAACAGGAUUAGAAACCCCGGUAGUCC
rnacentral:rRNA from 1 species